rnacentral:rRNA from 1 species
CCUACGGGGGGCUGCAGUGGGGAAUAUUGGACAAUGGGGGCAACCCUGAUCCAGCCAUGCCGCGUGUGUGAAGAAGGCCCUCGGGUUGUAAAGCACUUUCAGUGAGGAAGAACGCCUGGUGGUUAAUACCCAUCAGGAAAGACAUCACUCACAGAAGAAGCACCGGCUAACUCCGUGCCAGCAGCCGCGGUAAUACGGAGGGUGCGAGCGUUAAUCGGAAUUACUGGGCGUAAAGCGCGCGUAGGUGACUUGAUAAGCCGGUUGUGAAAGCCCCGGGCUCAACCUGGGAACGGCAUCCGGAACUGUCAAGCUAGAGUGCAGGAGAGGAAGGUAGAAUUCCCGGUGUAGCGGUGAAAUGCGUAGAGAUCGGGAGGAAUACCAGUGGCGAAGGCGGCCUUCUGGACUGACACUGACACUGAGGUGCGAAAGCGUGGGUAGCAAACAGGAUUAGAUACCCGGGUAGUC